UAUGCGUUGUUGGGUAGGGGAGCGUUCUGUAAGCCUGCGAAGGUGUGCUGUGAGGCAUGCUGGAGGUAUCAGAAGUGCGAAUGCUGACAUAAGUAACGAUAAAGCGGGUGAAAAGCCCGCUCGCCGGAAGACCAAGGGUUCCUGUCCAACGUUAAUCGGGGCAGGGUGAGUCGACCCCUAAGGCGAGGCCGAAAGGCGUAGUCGAUGGGAAACAGGUUAAUAUUCCUGUACUUGGUGUUACUGCGAAGGGGGGACGGAGAAGGCUAUGUUAGCCGGGCGACGGUUGUCCCGGUUUAAGCAUGUAGGCUGGUUAUCCAGGCAAAUCCGGAUAAUCAAGGCUGAGGUGUGAUGACGAGGCACUACGGUGCUGAAGUAACAAAUGCCCUGCUUCCAGGAAAAGCCUCUAAGCAUCAGGUAACAUCAAAUCGUACCCCAAACCGACACAGGUGGUCAGGUAGAGAAUACUAAGGCGAUCGAGAGAAUCAUGGUUAAGGAACUCGGCAAAAUGCCCCCGUAACUUCGGGAGAAGGGGGGCCCCAACCUUGAGCACCACGUGCUGGUGUGAGGGGAUCGGGGCCGCAGAGACCAGGGGGAAGCGACUGUUUAUCAAAAACACAGGUCCAUGCGAAGUCGUAAGACGAUGUAUAUGGACUGACUCCUGCCCGGUGCUGGAAGGUUAAGAGGACCUGUUAGACCCUUGGGUCGAAGCGGAGAAUUUAAGCCCCAGUAAACGGCGGUGGUAACU
rnacentral:rRNA from 1 species